rnacentral:rRNA from 1 species
AUUGAACGCUGGCGGCAGGCCUAACACAUGCAAGUCGAACGGUAACAGGAAGCAGCUUGCUGCUUUGCUGACGAGUGGCGGACGGGUGAGUAAUGUCUGGGAAACUGCCCGAUGGAGGGGGAUAACUACUGGAAACGGUAGCUAAUACCGCAUAACGUCGCAAGACCAAAGAGGGGGACCUUAGGGCCUCUUGCCAUCGGAUGUGCCCAGAUGGGAUUAGCUAGUAGGUGGGGUAACGGCUCACCUAGGCGACGAUCCCUAGCUGGUCUGAGAGGAUGACCAGCCACACUGGAACUGAGACACGGUCCAGACUCCUACGGGAGGCAGCAGUGGGGAAUAUUGCACAAAGGGCGCAAGCCUGAUGCAGCCAUGCCGCGUGUAUGAAGAAGGCCUUCGGGUUGUAAAGUACUUUCAGCGGGGAGGAAGGGAGUAAAGUCAAUACCUUUGCUCAUUGACGUUACCCGCAGAAGAAGCACCGGCUAACUCCGUG